UACGUAGGGGGCAAGCGUUAUCCGGAUUUACUGGGUGUAAAGGGAGCGUAGACGGCUAUGUAAGUCUGAUGUGAAAACCCGGGGCUCAACCCUGGGACUGCAUUGGAAACUAUGAAGCUGGAGUGCAGGAGAGGUAAGUGGAAUUCCUAGUGUAGCGGUGAAAUGCGUAGAUAUUAGGAGGAACACCAGUGGCGAAGGCGACUUACUGGACUGUAACUGACGUUGAGGCUCGAAAGCGUGGGGAGCAAACAGG
rnacentral:rRNA from 1 species